AACCGAACCGAUUCUGAUUUAAUUUCAAUUCAAAACCGGACUGCGGCCACCCCUAACUACCCUAUGUGUCCUCACCUCACCACCUUCUUUAUUAUUGCCAUUUCUUCUGUUUAUUACUGUCUACGAUAGGACAAGGAAACCCAUCUCAGAGGAAAGAAGAGAAAACGUACAGAUUUCUAUGGUUGUGGUGUGGUGGUGGUGUUGCUGGUGGAAGAUGAUGAGAGCUAAGGCUGAAAUCACGUGGGAAAUCAAAGAGUAUAUGGUGUUUGUGAUGGGAAGAUUGUUAAAGCAAAUGGGUCUCAUUUUGGGCUUAUUUGAGAGCUGGUGGGCUGGAUGCACAAGAAAUCCCAUCUCUGUUAUCCAAUUCUUGCACAAUAAAGCUUUCUUCUUCUUCUUCUUCUUCUUCUUCUUCUUCCUUGGCUUCUGGUAAUGAUUAUGUUCGAUGGUUGUUGGUGGUUGUGGUGGCGGUGGUGGUGGUGGUACUAAUGGUGGUGAUAUUGGCUGGACGGCUCAAUCUCUUUAUUUUUAUGACAUAGGGAACUAAAAUAUUUAUUUUUUCUUUCUGGGUUUCACUUCUGUAACCUAGUCUUAUAAUGCUGAUAUGCAACAAUAGGAUCAACUUUGUUGCUCUUCCGGGUUUGGUUC